rnacentral:lncRNA from 1 species
GGCGACGGCGGCGAUUAGGAGGGAGUCGUGGGAUUCGGACCAUGCGAGGUCGUAAACACCGUCGGCAGUGUCGAAGGCGACGAGUUCGGUGAGAGCGGGAGCGGCGGGGGAGAGGUCGAGGACGUGGACGCGGCCAUUACCGAGGAUUCCGAAGUUUUGGGCGGUGGCAACGGCGAGACGGGACUCGUAGAAGGGAGAGAAUUUGACGGAGUAGCCGUUAAAUGGGGUUUUGAAGACGGGCAUCUUUGGUGUUGUUAUUUGCCGGUGGAGUUGACGGAGUUAUCUGUACUCAAGUUUCAUCUGGUGCUACUAGUGUGUAUCGUGUUGUUGUCAGUUUGAGCGUUUGCG